GACGAACGCUGGCGGCGUGCUUAACACAUGCAAGUCGAACGGAAAGGCCCUGCUUUUGUGGGGUGCUCGAGUGGCGAACGGGUGAGUAACACGUGAGUAACCUGCCCUUGACUUUGGGAUAACUUCAGGAAACUUGGGCUAAUACCGGAUAUGAGCUCCUGCUGCAUGGUGGGGGUUGGAAAGUGUCGGCGGUUGGGGAUGGACUCGCGGCUUAUCAGCUUGUUGGUGGGGUAGUGGCUUACCAAGGCUUUGACGGGUAGCCGGCCUGAGAGGGUGACCGGCCACAUUGGGCCUGCGAUACGGCCCAGACUCCUACGGGAGGCAGCAGUGGGGAAUCUUGCACAAUGGGCGGACGCCUGAUGCAGCAACGCCGCGUGCGGGAUGACGGCCUUCGGGUUGUAAACCGCUUUCGCCUGUGACGAAGCGUGCGUGACGGUAAUGGGUAAAGAAGCACCGGCUAACUACGUG
rnacentral:rRNA from 1 species